UCUCAUUUGGAAAAAUCAUUAUCCCUAAGAAUGCCACAAUAAAUGCGAACCGGCGAUGAAGUUGACAAAAACCCUUAUCUUUCUUGUUGCUCAACCCCUUUUCAUGUGUCUCAAAACCAGAAGAAUGCCAAAACCUGAAAUAUAAAAAAUGGAAAUCACAACCCCCAUUGCUUAUGCGGUUUUUACUUGUCUGUUUGUUGAUAUUCAGGAGUUCAAAAAACUUGUGCACCGAUGGAGCCAUUGGAAAUAUAAGUUGUUUCUUCCUCAGAUCUCGUCCAAACUCAAUGUAACCGGCUAUCUCCUCCAAUGUAGGGGUAAUCUCAAAGUCUGAGAAGCGAAAAACACUACGAGCAGGGUCCUAGAAAGUUAUCAUAGCCUUGAUCAGAUCAUCCCGUGAUUUGAUCUCACAAAUGUCUAUAAGAGCGCCCAACGGCUGUCUCACCCAUUCCUGACCAUCUUGAUCCAAAUCAUUCCACCACAUGCGCAAAUGUACUCGAGCCUGCUCCCUGAUCAC
rnacentral:lncRNA from 1 species